rfam:Salmo salar isolate Sally breed double haploid chromosome ssa18, whole genome shotgun sequence.
UCAAUACCAAUUUGUAAGUCGCUCUGGAUAAGAGCGUCUGCUAAAUGACGUAAA